UGCGGAAUAGAGCAGUUGGUUAGCUCGUUAGCCUCAUAAGCUAAAGGUCAUGGGUUCGAGUCCCAUUUCCGCAA
rnacentral:tRNA from 1 species